rnacentral:miRNA from 13 species
CCCCUGCCUGCCACUGCCACCU